AGAGGUGUAAGUACGGCAACGUAUGUAGCUGACUAAUACUAAUAGGUCGAGGGCUUGACCAAA
rnacentral:rRNA from 1 species